UGAGUGGUGUUUGGUUUGUUACGGGUGGUUGGCUCUUUGCUUGCGCAACAACUUCUACCUGGCAUACCUCUUCAGUCUUGUGUCAAUGCUUGUAUUGCAUUGAAUGCACGGUGGGUUUCUUGUGUUGCAUACCUAAUUUAAUGGUAUUGCUUGGUGUAUUGGUUUUCCUUUCGUUUUGCAUUGCCUAUGCGAUGUGAGAUGAACCUUGAAGCAGCCUUUGUGAUCCACUGAUUUGAUGUAUAUGCAUUGAUUUUGUGGCCCAUUGAGUGUUGCUCGGUCUCAUGGAUAUGGAACCUGGUGUGGGCAUGGAAUCUUAAUGGUUCCUUGUUUGCCCAAGUUUAGCUUUUCUAAAACGAUUGUCUAUCAUGUGUUAACAUGCCAGACUACUUCGGAUAUGAAUGCUAC
rnacentral:misc_RNA from 1 species